rnacentral:lncRNA from 1 species
UUUGGCUUAAGAAUAUACUAAGCACCUGGCUGUAGAAGAUAAAAGGAAAAUUGCAACAACCAGUUCUAACAACUAUAAUAGAUUCUUAAAAAAAUUAAAACUAAAGAUUAGCAUGUAUAAUCAAACAUCAAUCAAAUUCAAUCAAAAUUACAAAGGAAUUAUGUAAAAAAUACAAAAUAUUCCUAAAGAUCCUUUAAAAAAAUCAUAAAGAAAUAACAUAGUAAUUCAAAAAUAUACUAAAAUACAAAUCUUAAUAAAAUAUUAAAAUAAAAACUUUAAUUAAAUCCUAAUCAAAUUCUAAUCAAAUCCUAAAUAAAUCUUAAUCAAAUCCUAAUCAAUCCUAAAUAAAUUCUAAAAAAAUCCUAACUAAUUUUUAGUCAAAUCCUAAAAAAUCAUAACCAAAUUAUAAUCAAACCUCAAACAAACCUUAACCAAAUCCUAAUCAAAUCUUAAAUAAAUCUUAACCAAAUUCUAAUCAAAUCUUAAACAUAACCUAAUCAAAUCCUAACUAAAUC